UGCAUAUCCCACAACAUCGGUAUUUUUUGGAAAUUUGAAUUUGUAUUAACAAUUUAAAACAUAACAAAAAGAAGCCUAAAGAAUCUUGCAUGUGCGUUUUACACUAUUCAUCUUAUAGACUUCUAAUCUUAGUCCCAUAGUUCAUGAAACACUUAACUCAAAAUCACAGCUACCUCAACAAUGUAACAAAAAAAAAAAAAAAAACAUUACCUCCAUCUAACCAGGUCAUUGUCAUCAAAUUACAAUCUUUUCGUUUUCCUAAAGAAAUUGGAAUCAAGUACUAUCUUUAAUGCUUCAGUGUCCUCUGCUUCUCUGCCUUUUCAACAAUCUUUUGCUCUACCAAUAAGCCUUUCCUUUUUCGAACGUUCAGCAUAUAGCGCUUAGCAAUAUUUUCGCGAUCGGCUAACUCGCCUAAAUCUUCCAAUUCCUCCUCAGUAGUUGGAACCCAAAAGGGAUUCUCGUCUAGCAUCUCAAAACCAUGGAAGAUUAAUUGAGGAUAGGCAGCACCAGAUGUCCUUUUCAAAAUUUCUACAGCGAAUCCAAAGGAUUCAACAACUGGAAUCAAGGCUUUUACAAUAAAAAAUGGAGUCCCUUCCUUCAUUUCUUCAUCAAUUACUCGUCCUCGUCGCUUCGAAACAACACCAUAUACCCUACCCAAGACUUCAGAUGUGGCCUGAACAUCGCAAGAAUACAUGGCUAGCAUAAGUCUCGGUGACCAACCUAAAAAUCCAUGUCUAAUAGACUCUUUCACUACCGAAAUAACUUGACCGGGGAUUUGGGGAUUAUUGAUGGUAAGUAACUUACUAUCUUCCGAGUCAUCAGAUAUGUCAAACUGAUCGAUUGACACACAAAUGCCUUGAACGGGUUCAGCACACAAUGGUCCCUGGUGCGUUAUUAGUUGAAAUGCAGUAACUACAUAUUCAGAAAGGUCUGAGGGUAUUAAUUUUGUUUCAUCGCUUUGUCGUCGAAAAUCUCUCAUCUUCUUGGUUUUGUCAAAAAGUAUAUUAGGACCCACUCGUUUGGGGCCAAACGCAAUGAUACUAGUAUUGUUAGUAAUCAACCAAUAGAACACUAGUAUAACCUACCUAUCCAAAUGAUUUUUCAGCUCGCCUAAGUCAGAGUUCUCUUCCUCUAAAAGCUUGGAAAGCCUUUCAUAAAACUUCUCAGGAGUCAACACUUCCUCCAUACUUUUUGUUAAAGAUUCCGAGACAACAACGUUUCUAUUUUUCUUUGAAAAAUUGCUGCUAACAUUUUCAAUUGUUUUAGAGUGCUUCAGCAGAAAAUCUACGACAGACCCAGAAAGAGGUGUUACUGUAAUUCCAAUCGUAACUCCGCCAACUGGUAACGUUGCAGUGACAAAGCCAAUACUCAGUUCUUUAUUUUUUGCUAAUAAGUCGGGUGUAGCUAUGGUAGUUUCCCGAUAUGGCACAAGUGGCUGAGAUGCUUGUAUUUCAAUUUUUGCAAACCGUUCCCUAAGGUCUUUUAAACAUCUUUCCAAAUGAAUCUCUCCGGCACACAUAAUUACAUGCUCUCCAUUUUCUUCAACGGCUAUUUGAACACAUGGAUCGGCUUGAUUAAGCAUGUCAAGGCCAGUCACUAACUUGUUCAUCUCAAAUGGACGAACAGGCUCUAAAGCGACCCGCACAAUGGGCUCCAUUUGCUGAGUUACGCCCACUAAAUUAGGACCAUUUGGAGAUGAGCAUAGUGUUGCUGUUCUCAAAACCGUUCCGGCAAGGCCACCGAUUGCGAAAACGUUACCAGCGGGAACUGUCUCUAAAUAAACUAGCUCCUGUCCCAUCAUUAAAUAUAAUGACUCAACCGUUACCUUGGUAAUAUGUUUUUCAGGAUUGACUGGAUCAUAUUUUGGACCAUAAACAUAUACUUCCUGUCCAACUGAAAUUGUGCCACUGUAUAUCCUAGCAAAGCCAAUUAAAAUGUCCUUAUCAUCGUCCAUGUCAGUUGUGCUACCUUCUAAAUUGUCAGAGUUGGUAGAAGAAACGUUUUCCUCAAUAGAAAUGGUAUUUAUGCCGCUCUCAAUUGAUUCAGAUAAUUUUGAACGUAUCAAUUUCAUCUCCUCAGCACUAAGUUGUUUGCGACGAUGAUUAGGAAGAUCUCUUUCAGAAAAAGCUACCAUUUUACUUAUGUAUACCAAAACAGGCUGUUCCUUACUAGCGUCACAACUUUCCAUAGCCAGUGUAAUAUCUGGAUCUAUCAUUUCGUAAUGAGGAGUUGAACUCAAAACUUUCCUAGCUCGAUUCGCUUGGGCGUUAAUAGGAGAAGGAAUUUCCCUAAUCGCUGUUAACAAAAUUGCAGUUGAUAGUGGCAACCACUGUUGAAAAAUCGCAAGUAGCAAAUUUCUAGGGUCUUUGGAUUUGAUGUCACGGGGAAGAACUUUAAUGUUUAAUGCCUUAAUGAUUUUCUCAAUGUUUUCAAGGUUCCUAUUGCUCACAGCUGAUUCAUAAACAGCCCAGAGGUUUUCGAGAACAAAUUGUACAAACAUUGGUUUUAACCGUCGGCCUUGAAGAUGUUUGGGCUGAAGAACUCUUUUAGUUUUAGGGUCUAGAUAAUAAUCACCCCAGAGACAUUUUGUAAGUGCUUUUUGUUUUAAUCCAAGCUUUUUUUCGUAAAAUUCUGAAAAUUGGUCCAAACAAAAUGCCCAGCCAUCGUAUGCACUAGCAAACACAACGUUUCCCUGUUCAGGUGCGAAAUAUAUACCUUCAUCACUGAUGACUUCGUCGUUAUCAGCUAAUUGCAUAAGCUCACCAGUAUAAAAGGUGCCAAUGACAGCAUUUACUUGUUCAACAAGUCGAAGCAAAUGAUAAUGAGCUUCAAUAGGAGACAGUUUCAGUUCAGUAAUCAAACGAUCCAUUUUGUUAAUGACUAAAAUCACCUUUAUACGGUCUAUCCAUGCUUGUCUAAGGACAGUAAUUGUUUGACUACAAACACCCUCAACUGCGUCUACUAAAACAAAUGCACCAUCGCAAAGCCUUGAGGCCGAAGAUACUUCAGAACUGAAAUCAACAUGACCAGGAGAAUCGAUAAGAUUAAUCAGGUAAUCUUUUUCAACUCUUUUUUCAUCAUUUUGGCUUAUAACUUUAAAAAACAAUGAAAUGGCGCUAGACUUCAUAGUAAUACCUCUCGUAAUUUCAUCUUCGCGAAAAUCAAGAAAACGAACAGUACCAGCAAGUUUGCUAGAUAUGAUUCCAUUCGAAGCUAGUAAACUGUCUGCAAGGGUUGUCUUUAAUUAAUCAUUAGCAACUAUUCAAAAAAGUUUAAAAUUGCAAAAUUCAUACCUUUCCAUGAUCUACA